CACGUAGGAGGCGAGCGUUGUCCGGAAUCAUUGGGCGUAAAGAGCGCGCAGGCGGCUUGGCAAGUCGGGUGUGAAAACUCAGGGCUUAACCCUGAGCUUGCAGUGGGUACGGGCAGACUAGAGGUAUGCAGGGGAGAAUGGAAUUCCUGGUGUAGCGGUGAAAUGCGCAGAUAUCAGGAGGAACACCGGUGGCGAAGGCGGUUCUCUGGGCAUUACCUGACGCUGAGGAGCGAAAGUGUGGGGAGCGAACAGG
rnacentral:rRNA from 1 species